UUUCCGUAGGUGAACCUGCGGAAGGAUCAUUAACGAGUUAGGGUCCCAUGGGCCCGACCUCCCACCCUCUGUUGUCGAACGAAACCGUUGCUUUGGCGCGGCCGCGCUCCCCUCGCGGGGAGCCGCCGCCGGGUCCGCCCGGCGAGUGCCCGCCAAGGGACCAAAACGCAACCCUUGAAGUGAACCUUGCAGUCCGAGCACAAUCGUUAAUAAAAUCAAAACUUUCAACAACGGAUCUCUUGGUUCUGGCAUCGAUGAAGAACGCAGC
rnacentral:misc_RNA from 1 species